UACAGAGGUCCCGAGCGUUGUUCGGAUUCACUGGGCGUAAAGAGCUCGUAGGUGGUUUGUCGCGUUGUUCGUGAAAACCGGGGGCUUAACCCUCGGCGUGCGGGCGAUACGGGCAGACUUGAGUACUGCAGGGGAGACUGGAAUUCCUGGUGUAGCGGUGGAAUGCGCAGAUAUCAGGAGGAACACCGGUGGCGAAGGCGGGUCUCUGGGCCGAUACUGACGCUGAGGAGCGAAAGCGUGGGGAGCAAACAGG
rnacentral:rRNA from 1 species